UUGCGAUGUAGCAUGCCCGUUUGGUGCUUAACUCUGAUGUGUAAUUGUUAUUUAAUUACUUUGGGGUAACGGGGUGUGACACACUG
rnacentral:pre_miRNA from 1 species